rnacentral:rRNA from 1 species
AAACGUUUGACACCAGUCAUGCGGGUGGAAAAUCAACCUUUUGGGAUGAGGAGUGGUGGAAGUUCAGACCGCAAGGCUGACUCUUAUCUCAUCUUUAGACUAAAGGGUGCACUUUUUCAUUUGCAGGUCAACAUCAGCUUUCUCUGCUGGACAAAACUCUGAGAGAAGGUAGCAGCUUUGGCUGUGUUAUAGCUCUGGAGCGAUACAGUGGGGGGACUGAGGUUUUCGCAGUGUGUGCUCUCGGGCAAGGUCGACUGGGUGCUAUGUGAUCGUUCGGCGUAC